AGAUCAAUUGUCACCAAGUGGGUGCUGGCGUCUCAGUGGUUAUUUGGGAUGGCUGUUAGGCUGGUGAGGACAUUCCUGGGUGAUUUUCUGUUUGAAUACUGGUGUCACCAUUAGUAAAUCAAGGGGCAAGAGGGACAGCAUUGCUUCACGUCUCCAUUUUACAACCUUUUGAUGUUGGGACGGCUCAUGCUCAGUAACCACACUGUCAAAGCCACAAAAUAAAAUCAUAAAAGAGU
rnacentral:lncRNA from 1 species